rnacentral:sRNA from 1 species
AUUGCAGCAAUCCAGCUACAUUAUAACCAAUUUCUAGCUGUUUAAUUAAGGAAGCUGCUUUUGCUGUUUCCUUGACUCCAGACUCUCCUCUCCUAUAUGUAUAGCAGGCAAAUCUUUUAAGCCAGGGCUUGUGUCUGGCUAGAUUUUAUUCCAUGGAAAAUAACAUGCGUACCCGAUGAAUAUUUGGCUUACAACAGAAGCAAGGUUUUGGAAAGAGUUCGGAGGCUGAAGAAGCCAGCAGACACUCUGCUAUAGAGAGGAAGGUUAAAGCAAUCUGUGCGACAUAUUUCAUUAGUCAAAGCAACUUCGCUGGCUGGCCUUUCUCAACUCAGAAUAAAAAUAAGACCGCUAAAGCCAUUUCCCAUCCAAAGAUGCAUAAAUCUACAAAAAGAAGUUCAGGAAAGAAAGCGAUUUGAGGUGUGUGUGGCUCAUGUGGCUUUGUCCCCGCAAGCAAUAUGCUUUCAAAAGUAAUGGCUUUACUGGGAUAUCACUAAUAUAUGAUAAAGCUCACCCUUUUAAAUCACACACUUCAAUGGCUCUUACUAUAUUCGCUUGUACGGUUACUACCAGGACCUACACGUAAAGCAAUUUAUCACACCUCAAAAAACGAAAAUAAAAAUCACUGUAUCCAUUAAGCACUCUGUGUUCCUCCUUUUACCUUGCCUCUGGCAACCACCGGCCCACUUUCUGUCUUGAGUAUUUUGGUAAUUCAUGCAAGUAGACAUAUAUAAACCUUAUGGCUUUUGGCAUCCGAUUGGGGGGGGGGCAUUGUGUUUACACUUGCAGCAGGUCUCAGUACUGCAUUCUUGUGGGCUGAAUAAUAUUCCACUAAUGGAUCUGUUGAUCGACAUUUAGAAUAUUUCUACAAUUCGGCCAUAAAAAUGAAUGUUGAGAAUAUUCAUAUGCAAGCUAGUUUUUAGACACAUUUUAACUUUUCUUGGAUAUAACCUAGAAGGAGAAUUUCUGGGACUCUAUUUGUU